rnacentral:lncRNA from 1 species
AGCUCAGGCUUCCAGAUCUUUCCAGAUUUGUACAGAUCAUUAGAAACAACAGAUUUUUUUUUAAUGCUUUGUGGGUUGCUGGAGUGAUGUUUGCAAGCAGUUAAUGCAUUGUGGGUUGCUGGAGUGAUGUUUGCAAGCAGCUGUAGGCACAGAGGAGUUCAUGGCAGUGUGAGGAAUGUCUCAUCUCAGGGUGCUGCCUUGUGAUACAUCAGGACGAGCCCCCUUCUCCUUUCCCUUCUCCUUUCCCUUCUCCUUUCCCUUCUCCUUUCCCUUCUCCUUUCCCUUCUCCUUUCCCUUCUCCUUUCCCUUCUCCUUUCCCUUCUCCUUUCCCUUCUCCUUUCCCUUCUCCUUUCCCUUCUCCUUUCCCUUCUCCUUUCCCUUCUCCUUUCCCUUCUCCUUUCCCUUCUCCUUUCCCUUCUCCUUUCCCUUCUCCUUUCCCUUCUCCUUUCCCUUCUCCUUUCCCUUCUCCUUUCCCUUCUCCUUUCCCUUCUCCUUUCCCUUCUCCUUUCCCUUCUCCUUUCCCUUCUCCUUUCCCUUCUCCUUUCCCUUCUCCUUUCCCUUCUCCUUUCCCUUCUCCUUUCCCUUCUCCUUUCCCUUCUCCUUUCCCUUCUCCUUUCCCUUCUCCUUUCCCUUCUCCUUUCCCUUCUCCUUUCCCUUCUCCUUUCCCUUCUCCUUUCCCUUCUCCUUUCCCUUCUCCUUUCCCUUCUCCUUUCCCUUCUCCUUUCCCUUCUCCUUUCCCUUCUCCUUUCCCUUCUCCUUUCCCUUCUCCUUUCCCUUCUCCUUUCCCUUCUCCUUUCCCUUCUCCUUUCCCUUCUCCUUUCCCUUCUCCUUUCCCUUCUCCUUUCCCUUCUCCUUUCCCUUCUCCUUUCCCUUCUCCUUUCCCUUCUCCUUUCCCUUCUCCUUUCCCUUCUCCUUUCCCUUCUCCUUUCCCUUCUCCUUUCCCUUCUCCUUUCCCUUCUCCUUUCCCUUCUCCUUUCCCUUCUCCUUUCCCUUCUCCUUUCCCUUCUCCUUUCCCUUCUCCUUUCCCUUCUCCUUUCCCUUCUCCUUUCCCUUCUUUUGCAGAAAACAAUACUUAGAGAAAACAGAUUUU